rnacentral:rRNA from 1 species
UGACGGCCAUAGCGGCGGAGUCACACCCGGUCCCAUUCCGAACCCGGCAGUAAAGCCCGCCCGCGUACCUGUCUGUACUGUAUUGCGCAAGUGUACGGGAACUCAGGCACGCUGUCAGCCACUUUUCCCA